UAAACUGAUAAAGGACAUAUCUGAUCAGGGAAAAAAAAUACUUCCGUUCUAGGGUGGGAAUUUUUUUCCCCUCACGAUUGCUUCCUUAUCCAUGACCCAUUCAGAUGAUUGAGCCAAGGUACUCCAAGGAAUAUUUGGACCUGCUAAUCUGAUGGUACUUAAUCUUUUACAAGAACUACAAGGUCUGGAAGUGCCUUCUUUAAGGAAGCAACAAGAUUUUAACUAUCGUGUGUUAAAAAUUAAGGAAUAUGUCUAAUGAGACACUGUCAACAGAAUUGGUUCUAUGUUGGCCCUGAACCACACAAAAUCAGUGGACUUGCUGAAUCUGAUUUCGACCUCUGGAUCAAUGAAGACUGCAUGGGUCCAUUUAUUCAAAAUAAUUAGCACCUAAAGUUUUC